UGAGGGGAGCUGCCAUUACUCCACCUGCCCGGAACACACUCGGGAAGAUGGAACCUGCUACAGGGGGAGGGCCAAGUGUUGCGUCUGAGCUGGAGCCACGGGCAAGAAAAAUCCACAGGAAGUACUUAAUCAAUGGAAACAUGUCCAGGGGUGAGGAUGAAAAACAAGAAGUAAAGAUGAGCUUUGUGCUGAGGGUCCCCCAUCUUCUCAAGCUGCUGGCUCUUGAAUAAACCUGCUUUGCUCCAUCA